rnacentral:rRNA from 1 species
ACAGCAGCCGCCGCGGGAAUACGUAGGUCCUGAGCGUUGUCCGGAUUUAUUGGGCGUAAAGGGAGCGCAGGCGGUUUAGUAAGUCUGAAGUUAAAGGCAUUGGCUCAACCAAUGUAUGCUUUGGAAACUGUUAGACUUGAGUGCAGAAGGGGAGAGUGGAAUUCCAUGUGUAGCGGUGAAAUGCGUAGAUAUAUGGAGGAACACCGGUGGCGAAAGCGGCUCUCUGGUCUGUCACUGACGCUGAGGCUCGAAAGCGUGGGUAGCGAACAGGAUUAGAUACCCCAGUAGUCCCUGUCUCUUAUACA